UACGUAGGGUGCAAGCGUUAAUCGGAAUUACUGGGCGUAAAGCGUGCGCAGGCGGUUAUGUAAGACAGAUGUGAAAUGCCCGGGCUCAACCUGGGAACUGCAUUUGUGACUGCAUGGCUAGAGUGUGUCAGAGGGGGGGUAGAAUUCCACGUGUAGCAGUGAAAUGCGUAGAGAUGUGGAGAAAUACCGAUGGCGAAGGCAGCCCCCCUGGGAUAACACUGACGCUCAUGCACGAAAGCGUGGGGAGCAAACAGG
rnacentral:rRNA from 1 species